rnacentral:rRNA from 1 species
GGGCAAGUCUGGUGCCAGCAGCCGCGGUAAUUCCAGCUCCAAUAGCGUAUAUUAAAGUUGUUGCAGUUAAGAAGCUCGUAGUUGAAUUUCUGCCUUGUCAUUAAUCUCGCUUCCGAGCGUUUUUUUAUUGGCUUGGCAUCUUCUGGAUUUGGUGCCUUCGGGUACUAUUUUCCAGGAUUUACUUUGAGAAAACUAGAGUGUUUCAAACAGGCAUUCGCCUUGAAUACUACAGCAUGGAAUAAUGAAGUAGGACUUUGGUUCUAUUUUGUUGGUUAUUGAGCCAGAGUAAUGGUUAAUAGGAGCAGUUGGGGGCAUUCGUAUUUAACUGUCAGAGGUGAAAUUCUUAGAUUUGUUAAAGACGAACUACUGCGAAAGCAUUUGCCAAGGAUGUUUUCAUUAAUCAAGAACGAAAGU